rnacentral:misc_RNA from 1 species
UUUCCGUAGGUGAACCUGCGGAAGGAUCAUUCAAAAUAAGUGUUUUAUGGCACUUUUUUUAAAUCCCUAUCCACCUUGUGUGCAAUGUCAGGGUUGAUUCUUCUCUCGAGAGGAUCAGCCCCAAACAUCAACUAUAUCUCAACUCUUUGUCUGAAAAAUAUUAUGAAUAAAACAAUUCAAAAUACAACUUUCAACAACGGAUCUCUUGGCUCUG